GACCUUCGGGUCUAGUGGCGCACGGGUGCGUAACGCGUGGGAAUCUGCCCUUGGGUUCGGGAUAACAGUUGGAAACGACUGCUAAUACCGGAUGAUGUCUUCGGACCAAAGAUUUAUCGCCCAGGGAUGAGCCCGCGUCGGAUUAGCUAGUUGGUGAGGUAAAAGCUCACCAAGGCGACGAUCCGUAGCUGGUCUGAGAGGAUGAUCAGCCACACUGGGACUGAGACACGGCCCAGACUCCUACGGGAGGCAGCAGUGGGGAAUAUUGGACAAUGGGCGAAAGCCUGAUCCAGCAAUGCCGCGUGAGUGAUGAAGGCCUUAGGG
rnacentral:rRNA from 1 species